rnacentral:rRNA from 1 species
CCUACGGGUGGCAGCAGUGAGGAAUAUUGGUCAAUGGACGAGAGUCUGAACCAGCCAAGUCGCGUGAAGGAUGAAUGCCCUAUGGUUUGUAAACUUCUUUUAUAUGGGAAUAAAAUGUUGAACGUGUGCGUUUUUGUAUGUACCAUAUGAAUAAGGAUCGGCUAACUCCGUGCCAGCAGCCGCGGUAAUACGGAGGAUGCGAGCGUUAUCCGGAUUUAUUGGGUUUAAAGGGAGCGUAGGUGGAUUGUUAAGUCAGUUGUGAAAGUUUGCGGCUCAACCGUAAAAUUGCAGUUGAAACUGGCAGUCUUGAGUACAGUAGAGGUGGGCGGAAUGCGUGGUGUAGCGGUGAAAUGCUUAGAUAUCACGAAGAACUCCGAUUGCGAAGGCAGCUUACUGGACUGCAACUGACACUGAGGCACGAAAGUGUGGGGAUCAAACAGGAUUAGAUACCCUGGUAGUC